rnacentral:rRNA from 1 species
AUUGAACGCUGGCGGCAGGCUUAACACAUGCAAGUCGAACGAGUGGCGGACGGGUGAGUAAUGCUUGGGAAUCUAGCUUAUGGAGGGGGAUAACUACGGGAAACUGUAGCUAAUACCGCGUACCCUAGGAUGAGCCCAAGUGGGUUUCGGUGGUUGGUGAGGUAAAGGCGCACCAAGCUGACGGUCCCUAGCUGGUCUGAGAGGAUGAUAAGCCAAACUGGGACUGAGGCACGGACCAGACUCCUACGGGAGGCAGCAGUGGGGAAUAUGGCGCAAUGGGCGCAAGCCUGAUGCAGCCAUGCCGCGUGUAUGAAGAGGGCCUUCGGGUUGUAAAGUACUUUCAGUCGGGAGGCGUUACCGACAGAAGAAGCACCGGCUAACUCCGUGCCAGCAGCCGCGGUAAUUC